rnacentral:lncRNA from 1 species
CAGGGGUUUAACAAGUGUCUAAGGUAAACAGUGUCAACUCAAUGCACUCAAGAAAGCAAGCAACAAACAGUCUUGGCAAGUCUCUAAUAUCAACACUCAAAACAUAUGCAUGUUCAAAUCAAAAGGUCUUUCAUGGAUGUAAUGGGGCCAAGGACAAGGGAGGAUAAAUAUGGAUAAGAAGCUACAAACCAAAAGAAAUAGAGGAGCAAUGGGGAACAAGUGUAAACAUAGUCGAAUCACACCCAAAACCUCUAAUUCAAUCCUCCUCUUGACUCCAUUAUUCACACAUUUUUAUUCAUUUUUUUUUUAUUUUUAGUUUUUUUUCAUCCUGUCUCUAUGCUUUUCUCUUUU